rnacentral:lncRNA from 1 species
GGAGUAGUUGAUCAUGGCCUGAUGGAACCUCUAGCUGAACAAUAAGAUAGGUUAGUUAGUGUAGUAGAGGAAGAAAGAUGAUAUAUUUAUUAUUUGCUUUUGCUGCUUCUAUAUACACAUGUAUGUAUGUUUAGUUAUUCGACAUGCUUCUGAAAUUGACCGUGGUUUUAGACCGAAACACUAUGCUUGUUCAAAGAGUGUCCAUGUUGUGUGAUAUAUGAUGCUGCACCGUUGUGCAUCUCUCUUUUCUUGUGUGCCGCAUCAUUGUAGAUAUGCUUGAUAGAGUAAAUGAUUUCAGUUCUGGUUGUGUCAAAUCUUUACUAUGUACCAUGCUUAGUGUUUAUUUUACUGAGGCAUUGGGCAUUGGAAUUUAGGCAUUUAUGUAUAUUUUUAGUUCUGGAUGUGUCCAAUGCAAACAUUACUGUCAACUGUCAAGUUGAUUCUAAAAUGUCUUAUUAAGUUCAUUUCAAAUGGUUAUUUCUGGAUUUAGUAUGAAUUUAUUGUUGACCUGGCCUAUGCUCUGUACCAAUUUAUUGCAUUAUUUUGUUAUUUAGUGUUAAAUAUGCUGUUAUAUUUACUUUUAUUUUGUUCCUAAACAUUUUGUUCUAUAACGUGCAGAUGCUGGCCUUUCAUGUUCCUUUGCGAAUAUCAGGACAAAGAAGUCGGAGGAAGCAUAGUUCUAGCUCAUUGGAGCUAAUUCUGAGAGUAAUUUGAUGUAGCAAAACUUGGCUCAUGUGAUUGUACACUUGUAGAGCUUGUUAUCUGAUUGUAUACUUGUAGAGCUUGUUAUCUGAUUGUAAUCUUGAUGCUGAUCACAUUUGUAUGUGUGUUAUAUGAUGUAGCACUUUGAUGGUUGAUAAUAUUUGAAGUAUUUCCUGUAUUUUCUGUGUGCCAAUUUAAAUACUACGUAUUUAUUUAUGUUAAAUUAAAAAAUAAAGAAUAUGGCCCUGACAGCUAGGACCUAGUACAAGUACCUAACAAUGCGGACCCACUUGACUAGUGAACCCAUUUUAUAUAAAAAAAUGAAACUGUUGAGACAAAAAGGCCACGGCCCAAAAAUAAAAAGGCUGCAAUGUUGGGCUUGGCCCAGGAAGUCGACCAAAAAUUGACAGGAAAAAAAAUAUAUAGGAAGGCUGAAUUGUUGGGCUCGGCGCAUGUAAAACACCGAAUCGGACCGGGCUGAAUCUUAUCAACUACCUUUUCAUUUGGUCACAAUUUUGC